GGGGGUGUGGCCCAAGUGGUAGAGUGCCUGCCUAGUAAGCACGUGGCCCUGAGUUUAAACCCCAGUAUUCCCC
rnacentral:tRNA from 1 species